CUACAAUAAUAAUUCAUAGAUCAGUACCAAAAAAUAUUAUUUUAAAACAUUUUCUCCAUAUAUGUAAAAAUAAUUAAUUUUUCAUCUAAAACUAAAAUCUCCUACGAUAUAAAAAUUAAAAAUAUUACUAUUAAGAUAUAUUUAACAUCAUUAUAUUGUUGUUGACCAUUAAUAGUAUGAUGGAUAUAUGUGAAAAAAAAAUACAGAUUUGUUUGGGAAUAAAAAAUGAUGAAUUAUGAAUAUAUAGCUCCACAACCUUAAAAUACAAGCUAUAAUUUUCAUUUAGUUUAUUGUUUGGCGAGAAUUUGUUGUCAUAGGUACAGUCUGCAGAUCAAUACAGAUAUUCUAAAUUCUAAUAAAUCAUUCCAUUAAUAUAUGUGAUUAUAGAGGAGCAUCAUUGGAUGAUAAAAUAAAAUUUUAGUCGGGUAUCUGUUGAGCAUAAGUUGCAUCUAUCUAGUAAUCUCCUCGUAAUUAAUUACUUCCUUGUCUUGAUUCAUGCCAAUUGCCAAAUCUUGUAUUUUGAAAUUAACUGCUCUUUUCCUUGAUCAGGAUAACUUUUUACCUAGGACAGCCAAUCCAUUGGAAGAUAUAUUCAAGUCUCUUUUCUGUUUGCCAUGCUUAUUGUGCUUGAGGUGCAUGAAGGAUACAUGUAUACCAUAGGAGAAGAUGCUGAAAGAUCCAAGGAGACUCUAUGCUCCCGGUCGCCUUUAUCAUAUUGUUGAGAGAAAGCCUUUCAGUUGAUGAAAGAGAAAGAUAAUACAAUAGAAAUACCUGCAAAUCAAAUCAUGGAGCGGCAAGAAACAUUAGCUAGACACAAUGAAGAAUACAAAGAAGCAUUGCAGAGGGCUAAAACAUUAGAUGUUCCACAUGCUUAUACACCAGUGUCACAAUAUGGAACUUUUGACGAGGAGGGAGAGGGCAGUUCAAGAAGGUCACAAGGUAAAUCUUCUUUCGGUUCAACUUAUAGGGGUACAGUGGAUGAAACUUGGGAUGAAAUGAUUGAGCAUCUUUUUGAUAAGGAUGAGCUUAUGUGGCCAAGAGAUAAUGGUUAUGUAAUUUAUGCGGACUAGUUUACAAUUUAUUGUAGAGAACAACUAAAUUCGUUCAUUUUUUUUGUGAUUUUUCUUGGUGUGUAGUUGUAGCUCAAGGAUGAAAUAACAUGUAAAGAAGAUUAACAGAUUUGUUAGAAAUUGUUUAGCUAAUGUUAUCCUAGUAAAUCUGAUGGCAGAUGAGAUAUUUUAGGAAAUUUAGAUUGAUUGUAGGCCUAUACAUAGGCUUUUUUUUUUUUUUUUAUAAGUUUCAAUGACAAUUUUCCUUCUUCAA